GACGUAGGAGGCGAGCGUUAUCCGGAAUUACUGGGCGUAAAGUGGGAGUAGGCGGCCCUUUAAGUCUGGGGUGAAAUCUCUCGGCUUAACCGGGAGGGGUCUCUGGAUACUGGGGGGCUUGAGGACAGCAGAGGGAGGUGGAAUUCCCGGUGUAGUGGUGAAAUGCGUAGAUAUCGGGAGGAACACCAGUGGCGAAGGCGGCCUCCUGGGCUGUUCCUGACGCUGAGCCCCGAAAGCGUGGGGAG
rnacentral:rRNA from 1 species